UAAUAGCAUUUUCAUAAAAUUAUGGUCAAAGGCAUAGGCGUUUGAUUUAUAAUGGUACCUGCAAACCACUCUUUUACUGAAUUAAUUUGUUUGUUUUGCUUGUAUUUCCACAAUUGUAAAUGCUGUGAGUUAAGUGACUGCUUUGCUUCAACUACAGGAGAAUGUGAAAACACUCCAGGAGAGAGAGGUUGCAUAUAUCAAUGCAGACUCAUACACAGAAGGCAAUUAUACCCUCAGAGUUGACUGUACACCUCUUCUUUUCCAGUUGGUAUAUAAACUGACAGAAGAGUGGAGGAAUCAGACAUCAUUCAUCUGGAGAAAUGCUGUUGGUUGCUGAGGGCUCAAUCCCGAACUGGAUGAUUUGAUUUAGAGACAUUUGGCCCAUUGGCUUCACCACCAAUUCGUCCAUCUCUGAGUGAAGGUUUAUUUAAUGCUUUUGGUGAAAAUCAUGACAGCCACAUAGAUUUUAAGGAGAUAUCCUGUGGGUUAUCAGCUUGUUGCAGAGGACCUCUGGCUGAAAGACAGAAAUUUUGCUUCAAGGUAUUUGAUGUUGACGGUGAUGGAGUUCUCUCUAGGGUUGAACUGAGAGACACGUGGUUGCACAUUUAGAGGUCUGGAAGGACAACUGCACCGAUGAUACCCUGGAAUUACAUGUGGAUGUAUCCAACAUUGUAGAAGACACAUAGAAUGCACAUGACACCACAAAGAAUGGCCAUCUUAACUCUAGAGGAAUAUCAUCUCUGGAGUGUGAAAAAUGUUCUUGCCAAUGAGUUUUUGAAUCUACUUUUCCAGGUAUGUUUAAGGUAAAUGACAGAGACCGAGGGCAGUGGUAUCAGUAGUUCUACAUCUUUUCCAUUAUGUAGUAGUUAGACAACUAGACUACAAAACCAUAUAUUGUCAAAAGAACUGCAUUAACCUGUACACCACCUGCAGAUGGUAAGUUAGAGCGUGCGUGCUUCUCAGAGUCACAAUGUGCAUGAUAGGAAAAUAGAGUAUAGCUGAUAAUGUUUAUCUUAAUAACUCAUGAUAGAGCAGAUUGUAGACACAUAGAAAAGAAUUUAAAAUGUAAAAGCCAUUAUAAUUUGCUAUUUUUCUUUACUUUUUUUUUUUUAAGACCCUUCCUAACAAGUAAGGUAGUGUGGACAGAGACAAAGAUCAUAAGUCGGCAGCUGUAAAUUUUUCACAAAGUAUACAAUCUUUCCAGUUAGGAGGUUAUUUUAGAUGCAAAUCUGUUUCUUAAUUUUCUUUUAUUCUUUCUUUCUUUCUUUUUUUUUUUUUCUUUUUUUAAUUUAGUUCUUUAGAAGGUCCAAAAAAGAUUGAAGGAGAAAGGAGGAAAAAAAGCUGUCAGGGGUGAACAUGAAAUCAUAAAACUUGCCAGAUUUUAACUAUUUUCCAGUUAAAGUAGUUCUCUUUGCUCCAAUUUAAAGAAACAACUUAUAGUUUCCCAUUUUUCAUAGUUCUUCAUAAAUGUAUGUUGAUUUAAUAGUAUUUUACAGGGUGUGAGUAGGGACAGACUGGAAGUUCAAGAUUUGUAAAUACUGACAGGUAUCUAUAGAAUAGAUAAACAAGUUUAUACUGUAUAGCACAGGGAAAUAUAUUGAAAAUUUUGUAGUAGCUCAUGGGGAAAAUAUAUGAAAACAAAUAUACGUAUAUUCGUAAAGUACUGAAAAAUUGUGCUGUACACCAGAAAUUGACACAACAUUGUAAACGGACUAUAACUCAGUAAAAAAAUAAAAACAAGAUAAAACUGUUAGAACACUAUAAAAAAGGUAGUAUUUUAGAUUUUUCUUAUUUUAUUCUCCUUUUCUUAUAAAAGCACCCCUAUGAAGAUCAAUAAGGCUUGAUAUCUUUAUAUCUAUCAUGAUCCUCCAUUGUAAAUACAGAGUAACCUGCCUGUGACACAGCUAUGUUAGAAUAAAUGAAAAUUGAACUCUUCCUGACAGCUAAUAAUUAAUGUAUAUUUAAAGCAUAUGAAAUCUGAUAAGUCUAUGAUACCCAUUUAAAUCAAUCAGUUGCUCCACUGUCAGUUAUCAGCCAGGAUCUAAGUUGAUGUUUUUAUAAAAUAUAAAUACAUAUAAAAAUAAUAUAAACCUACUAUAAACAGAAAUGACUUGCUUAGUAAUAUGAAAAUUGAGCAGCUAUUUUUAUCUCAUUUAAAAUGAUGUCCUCAAUUACUUUAAGUUAUCAUUAAUUAUAUAAACAUUUUGACCACUUAAGUUUGUGUCUGAGUCACCUUGCAGCUCUUACAUAGCAAAGCAUUUUGAACUUUUAUAUUGCCUUUCCUAUUUUCUCAUGUUUAUCAGGGACUUGCAUAGGCACUAUUUUUUCUAGGACUCUAUAAACAGAUGUAUGCCUGAGAUUUUCUUUUGUGUCUGUGUUUCUAGCAUAUUACUGACAGAUUUUUUUGUUGGUUAUCAAUCUAAUUUUUUUUCUUGGUAUAUAUAGUCCUUUCAGCCCUUUCAAGUAUAUAUAUAUGUAGUCAGUUUACAAUGUGUCAAUUUCUGGUGUACAGCACAAUGCUUCAGUCAUACAUGAACAUACAUAUAUUAAUUUUCAUACUUUUUCACCAUAAGUUACUACAAAACAGUAUUGGAUAUAGUUCCCUGUGCUAUACAGUAUGAACUUAUUUAUAAAUUGGGAGUUUGAGAUUUGCAGGUACUAAAUAUUAACAUUACAUUUUAUGAUGCUUACUUUAUCCCAUAUUCAGACAUGCUUUUAAAACUUAAUUUUCACUUAAUAUAUAAGUAAUCAGACUUACUCUAAAUUGUUUUAUUUUCUGUCUGUUUCUAAAAUAGAAUUAGCUAGUAAAUUCAGUGAUAAAAGCUUGAAUUAUACUUUUAUUUUAUUUGCCAAGAUCCCACUCCUGGCUGACCAUUUUGGGUAUUUAAGUAUAAAGUAAGUAAAUGUCAGUAGAAUUAGGAAACCAUUCCUGUGGUAAUAUUAUUUUCAGUCCUUUCAAAUAAACUCAGUGCUCAAUAUUUUGCAGAGGAAGCAUUCUAAACAUGAUCAGGAUCUUCUAUCUUGUACGUUUGUCAGAAAGCGUCAAAUGUUAAACAGUUUGAUAAACAGAAUAGUGCACCACACUGACCCCUACCUAUAUCCAUGCUCUAAUCCUGAAAUCUGUGAAUAUGUUAUUUUACAUGGCAAAGGGGAUUUUGCAGAUGUAUCAGGUUAAGGACUCUGAGACAGGGAGAUUAGCCUGGAUUAUCUACAUGGGCCUAGUCUAACAACAGGAGUCCUUAAAAAUUGAAAAUCUUUCCCAGCUGUGGUCAGAAAGAUAAGACUUUGGAAGAAGGAUUAGAAAGCUGUAAAGCUGUUAGCUUUGAAGAUAGAGGAAGGGCCAUGGGUAAAGAAAUGUGGGUGAACUCUAGAAGCUGGAAAAGACAAGGAAAUAUAUUCUUCCUUUGACCUACAGGGCAUACAGCCCUGCUGACAUCUUGAUUUUUAGCCAAAUGAUACCUGUUCCUGACUUGAACUACAGAACCAUAAAAUAAUAAGUUUGUGUUGCUUUAAGCUGCAAAAUUUGUGAUAAUUUGUUACAGCAGUGAUAAAAAUAAAUAUAGGGGAGGUAAUCCAACUUUAUGGAUUGGAGGGCUCAGCAUUUUAAAGAUGUCAGUUCCCCUUCAACUGAUUCAAAGAUUUAUAUGUGCACAUCAAAAUCCCCAACAGUUAAUUGUUGUUACUGUUUUUUUGUAGAACUUGACAAGCUGAUUCUAAAUACAUAGAGAAGCGUGAAGGGCCAACAAUAGCCAAGAUGAUAUUAAAGAACAAUGUUAAAGGACUUAUAAAACAAUAUUAAGUCUAUGUGAUAACUACCUAAAGUUAGACAUAUAGACCAAUGGAACAGCGUUGAAUUAAACCCUGUACCAUACAUGAACAGUAACUUUAGAUAGAUUAUAAAUCUAAUAUAUUUGAAACAUAAAGCAAAGCAUCUGGGGGAGGGUAAAGCUCAGGUGGAAUGUGUGCUUAGCAUGCAUAAGGUCUUGGGUUCAACUCCCAGUACCUCCAUUAAAAUAAAUAACCUAAUCCCCCACCAAAAUAAAGCAUCUAGAAAAUAGUGUAGGAGAUAUUUUAAUGACUUUGAAGUGGCAAAGAGUUCUUAAACCAGACAAAGCAUGAAACAUAAAAGAAGAGUUUUAAGUUGGACUUCAGUAAAAUUAAGAAUUAUUUUUAUCAAGAGAUACCAUUAAGAAAGUGAAAAGCUAAGCCACACGGUGGGAAAAUAUAUUUGCUAUACCUAUAUCCAACAAAAGACUUGUAUCUAGGGCAUAUAAAGAACAAAAACCAGCGGAGAAAAAGGCAGAACCUCAAUAUAAAGAUAUGCAAAAUAAUUGAACAGGUGCUUCACACACACACAAAAAAAUCCACAUAAGCUAUGAAAAGGGGCUGACCUCUUUAGUAAUAAUGGAAAUAUGUACUAAAACCACACUUGGAACACCAUUAGACAUCCACUAGAAUAGUUAGUUGUUAAGUGAUAUGAAGCAUUGGUGAGGGCAGCAAGCAAUGGGGACUCUUACACAUGGCCAGCGGGAAUAUAAAUUCUUACAAAUACUUUGGAAAUAGGCUUUUUGAAUGAAAGUUAUAUAUGUGUGUGUGUGUGUGUGUAUAUGUACACACACACACAUACACAUACACACACACACACACCCACACCCUAUUACCAAGGGUAACCCAUGUGUGUACCCUUCAGAAACUUCUACAUAUGAGCACCAAAGGACAUCCAGAAAAUUCUCAUAAUCAGUAUUUGUUAUACCCCCAAAUAGAAAAUGACCCAAACACUUGUCAAUAAUAAAUACAUAACCAUAAGUGGUGGCACAUGCAUACAAAUUGUAUACUUUAAAGCAAUAAAAAAUAUACUAGUUUACAGAAAACACUAGUGGAUGAAUCUUACAUAAUGUUGAGUGGAAAGUAUGGGACCAAAAAUUUCAAAAGCAAAAAAACCAAUCCAUGGUGGCUGAAUUUAGGAUGGUGAAUCCAUCAAAGGGGUGCCGUAGUAACUGGGAAGAAACCCAAAGUGGAACAGCAAUGUCCUGUUUCUUGACUGGAUGAAGGUUACAUAGAUGUGUUUACUUUGUGAAAAAUCACUGAGCUGUAUACUUAAGAUGUGUUCACAUUUAAGCAUGUAUAUUAUAUUUGCAUUCUUUAAAAAAAAAGUUUGCUUGCAAAAAAAGAUAUCCAAAGCCCAAGUAUUUAUCAGUAGGAGAAUGGAUAAAACAAAUGAUAGUAUAUUCAAACAAUGGAAUACUACUCAACAAUAAAAAAGAAUCAACUACUGAUACAAGGAUGAACCUCAAAAGCCUAAUUUAUACAUUUCAUUGUCAGGUAAAUUUUAACUCAGAAGGUAAACAAAACUAAACAGGCAUGUGCCCUGGGGGGAGGGGUGCUGUAGCCUUUGUCUCCUCAGACCUGUGCCAUUACUGGCACAUCUCGCAAGAAGAGAGGCAGGGCUCAGCCACAGCUACCAUCUCCUCCUGUGCAUAGUGCCUGGGCAGGGGCGGGGCUGAGGCCUGAAUCUGCACGUGGGGGCUCCACAACCUCCUAGGCAGGGCUGAGACUUGUUUAUAGCCUGAGGCAGAGAGGAUCUUUCUACCCUGACACCUCAGAGAACUUGUGCUGCCAAGAGAAACAAGGAGCUAAGAUUUGGCACAGAGCAUAGGUGGGGCUGUUCCGCAGUCUUCCCCGAGCCCACCUACAGACCGCCUACCCGAGGCAGAGCAGGCAGCUGCACAGAGCAGCAGAGUGACCAGCACGAGGAGAGGGCAGGUGGGCAGCCACCCACCUUCCUGGCAGGAACACAGCUCCUGACCACGGUGCUGGGACUGGGUGUGAUCUGCCCACCUGCCUCCCCCUGAUCACAGCAUCUGACUGUGGCAUCAGGAGGGGGAGUGACCUGCCCGCCCACCGGGUAAGAGCUCAGCUCCUGACCUAGUGUUAGGGGACACAAUCUGCUACCCAACAGCCACUGAGAGCAGCACAGAUGAGGGCGCCAACAGAAGACCUAUGAAACAGCAAGCUGAGUUCACGAAGCAGGGGGAAGAUACAAAGACCUGUCAAUCAAAUCAUUAAGGGCACACCAUCUCCAGGUUAAGUAGGUAACUGAUACUCCUUAAGCCACGGUGCCAGAGAGAUAUGAGCAAUGUGAAGAAGCAGAGAAACCACUCCCAAUUAAAAGAUCAAGAGAAAUCCCCUGAAAGCAUGAUCAAGGAAAAAGACAUUGAUGGCCUACUAGAUCAAGGUUUCAAAAAAAGAGUGAUCAAAGUACUGAAGGAACUAAAAAAAAUAGUGUUUAGGGAUAUAAAAUAUGUCAAAAAUGAAAUAGAAACUAUAGAGAAGAACCAAGUAGAAGUAGUAAACUCAUUGUCUGAGAUGAGAGCUGACCUAAAGGCUGUGCAAAGCAGACUAGAAAAUACAGAAGAACAAGUAUGUGAUCUAGAAGACAGGACAACAGGAAGCACCCAAUCAGAACAGCUGAGAGAAAAACAAAUAAAAAACAAUGGAAACAAUAUACGGGACCUACGGGGUAAUAUAAAGUGUGCCAAUCUAUGCAUAAUAGCAGUUCCAGAAGGGAAAAAAGAACAAAGGGGAUUGAAAAGGUAUGGGAAGGACUCAUGACUGAAAACUUCCCAAACCUAAAGAAGGAAUCAUAUCCAAGCACAGGAGGCUCAGAGGGUCCCAAACAGGAAGAACCCAAACAUACCCACACCAAGGCAUAUCCUAAUCAAGAUAGCCAGAGUCAAGGAUAAAGAAAUGAUCCUAAAGGAAGCAAGAGAAAAACAGAGUGAGUUACAAGGGAACCCCCAUAAGGUUUUCAGCUGAUUUCUCUACACUGUUUACAACAGCUAAGACAUGGAAACAGCCUAAAAUGUCCAUCAACAGAUGACUGGAUAAAGAUGUGGGAUAUUUAUAUGAUGGGAUACUAUUCAGCCACAAAAACAACAUAACGCCAUUUGCAGAGACAUGGAUGCUCCUGGAGAAUGUUAUUCUAGGUGGAGCAGAACAGAAAGAGAAAGAGGAAUACCAUAUGAGAUCACUCAUGUGUGGAAUGUUAAAUAUAUGCAAUGUCUUGUGGUAACUCACAGCAAAAAAAAAAAGUGACAAUGAAUGUAUGUACGUUCAUGUAUAACUGAAAAAUUGUGCUCUACACUGGAAUUUGUCAUAACAUUGUAAAAUGACUAUUACUCAAUAAAAAAUGUUUAAAAAUAAGUAAAAUAAAAUAUAACCUUUAAAAUGCUGUAUAAUGAGAGGUGUGAUGUUCUAGUAUCUGUUCUAAGAAGUACGUUAGACACACAUAAGAAUAACCAAUGGUCAGAAAGAUCACAUGUUACCAGCUACCACCCCAUGCAAAUUAAUGGCAUUUAGGAGAUAUUCAUAUAUGUAUGUACAUAUGUAAAAUAUGUAUUAUAUAUAUGUAAAUCAAAUAAAAUAUUAUAAUCUAAUGUAAAAUCAUAUCAGCAAAAGCACUGUGCUGACAUAAGUAUCUUGGUGUAAAUAGAUUACAAUUUUUUAUUGAGUUGUCAUAAUGGGAAUAUUGUGAACCAAGUGGAAGUUGUAAAAAAAAAGUCAUCCAAAAAAAAAAAAAAAUCCUGACUACAUGAAAAGAUGCACAGUUACUAUAAGGCCUCUCCCCUUAUUUACUAUCAGUGUGAGAAAGUCUCUUGGAAUAAGUUAGGAGAAUUAAAAACUCUUAACAAGACACAAAAAUGCACUCUCUGUUAAAGAAAAUAAACCAAAAGAAAAAACAAAUGAAUGGACAAUUAAGAUCCUACAGAUAAAAAUACCAAUUUUUAUGGGAAAUAUAGCCUUAAAAUAAAAAAUGAGAUUAUAUUCUAAUUUCACCUUUUGAAUAAAGAUAUACAAAAUUUAGCUGAAUACCUUCGUAUUUUGCACUUACGAAGAAAAAAUGUAUUUGCAAUGAAAAAACAGCCAUUAUCCUGCCUUUUGAGUAUUCUAAAGUUUUAGGUUUGAAUAUAUUUCAUCUUAAAUGGUCUUACGCACUAUGCAGUGGUUGGUGUUUUAAAAAUACCACUGUGUGUGGAACUUCUAAAAGUGAUUCAAAAAAUUUAUAUUUUUGUAAUAAUUUAGUAAUGACCCGGAUAUUAUUUUUAACAAGACUACUCACCAUGGAAUGGUGCAAGAUUUUUUCGAUGAGUUUAUAUUCACACAUGUUGAAGAUUGUCACUAUAUUACGAGAAAAUGUCAACCAUGGCAGUAUUUUGACUUGAAAACGAGAUAAGCUGAGAAGCACAUUUUAAGUAUAAAAUAAAUGAUUGCAUGCCUUUAAAGACAAGAAAGUAAAAGCAUGAUAAACUCUGACUUUGACACACUUAAAAUAUAAAAAUUAACAUAAUGUGAUUUACACACUUCUCUUUAAAUCUUUCAGUACUUUUUCAGCCCCUUUCCCAUUACACCUGCGUCCCCGCUCCUGGCCCGCGGUGUACACACCCCCGAUCACACGGGGGAGGGGGACCCGGGCGGUGAGGACCAGGGGCUCGGACACUCACCCGCUCCCUGCGGGCGAGGAGAAUAGUCGAAGCGGGCCCGCCAGCGCACCAGUCCCCUCCUGCCCAGCCGGCCGGGGCCCCAGCUCGGUCAGGUCCACACACACCCCGGCAGGAAGCGGGCGCAGGCAGUGGGAAACCGGCGUAACUUCAGACAGCGGGCGGGGAGCGUCCUCCUCCCGCGGACACGCAGGCAGCCCUGUCCUGGAGCCUCCAUGGCGCCGCCCGCUCAGUCCUGAGGAAAACAAGCUCCGCCUCCAGGGAAGAUGCUGGCUGCUGACGCGGACUGCGUAUGCGCACCGCCACCUAAGACACGCUGGCUUCGCGCGCCCCCUGCAGGUCCUCGAGGGCGGUGCAGUAUACUCAGAACUCACUGUAGAACACAUGACCCCUCCCAGCCAGGAUGCUAAAUCACUGGAAAUCUCAGUGCCCUGGCCUCUUUGUUGAUGGCACUGGCGAUGCGCUCAUCCAGCCAUGCCUGCUCUCUUGCCUGGCACAUGCCUCAGUCCUUGGAAUCCCGCCUGAAUCAGAUUCUGUUCUGGAGGAAGGACAGGUGCAGAAGAAUCUCAAAAUUCCAAACUUAGAAGAUGAUCAGGAACCCAAACUCAACUCUGUCAACUCCCUGGGGUCCCCUGAGGAGUGUGGUUUUCUCAGACCAUCUGCCCUGUGUCAGGAGCAGACCAAGCCUCAGGUAGCUUAGAGAGACUAUCAUGCAGCACAUGCUUUGGACGGUUCUCAGUUCUGACCUGCAUGAUCUUGAGACCAUUUUGUAACUCCUAACACUGUUUUCUCAUACCUAUAGUGAUGGUUAUUGAUGACUGAGUUAAUCCUCUUACAAUGCUGAGGUGCUGUUGUUCCUUGGAUAACCGAAUAUUUUGAAGGGAUCAACUGUUUAUCACUUCCCCCUAAUUAAGUAUGUUUUUAAAACUAGAAAUGUUUCAGGGGGCACUCAGGUCCUCCUCUUGCACCAGUUCCUGGUGUUGGCAGUUUCUGCUCUGAGCUCCAGAUCCUGAUCCUGCCGGUGGUCUAUGGUGAUGCCAGUGUGUACAUGCUCUUCCUUGUGCACCGGUGUGGAAAGGAGGCAGCCCUUCCCCUACAUGAGGCUGCAACUUGCUGACACUCAAAGCAGGCACAAUGAAGAAUCAGCUAGAGUUCCCGGUACCAGCUGUCCCAGGUAGAAACAUCACCUUCACCACAGUGUUCCUGUGCUCCUAUCAGGCCUUCACUACUCCCAGCAGGCCAUGCAUGAGCAAUGUGACAGGUGACUGCCUGUCCCAGCACAGCAUGGUGGUGAUGAUCCCACCUUAUCUGUUUGUCUUUGGAGUGUCCCCACACCUCUCUGAGCUUCACUUUGCUCUUCUCACAGGCAGGCUUGUACAGGCAUGAACCUGACAGGAUUAUGGUAGGUAGUCAUGGUAGCUGCUCACCCAGUGGCAGGCUCUGCCGAGAGGGCUACUGGGAGUGCUGUGUGUCUUCACACGUCCUUCACUCUCCCCAAUGAAAACACUCUUGGCCUUAUCCUUCCCUGGCCUGUGGCCUUUCUGUGUUUGCAAAAGAACAUGGAAACAAUCUGUUUGCAAAGAAGUUUUGAGGUUCUGUCCAUCUGGUCCAGGAAAUGCUGACUCUGCUAGAUGUGCUGUUGGGUGGGCUCUCAUGGGAGAGGCUUGGGCAGGACUUCCCUUGGCAAUAAGCUGCCCCACCCAGGCCUUUCCAUGAUCCAGACUCCUGGGACCAGGGUGCAAAUCCCCAGCUCCCCACUUGUAAACAAUGUGACCUGGGCAACUUUCUCAAACCCAAGCUUUGUCCACCCAAGGUCAUCAGAGAUGGGGGAUAACAGGAUGUCCUGCACAGAGUGUCUGUGCAGAUUAAGUGAGGUAGAACAGACAGAACAGUGGUGGGGCCUGGCCCAUUGGUUGGCAGAAGGGAGCUCACCAUGUGCAGCAAUUUCCGCGGGUCACCCAGCAAUCUGCCCAGAGGCUUAGCUACUCCAUCACUAUCAUGUAUCUGAAGUCCACUUAACCACAUGGGAGAGAAACAAACACAUAUUCUGAGUGUAGCUGCCAGAGGAAAAAGUGCAUCUGAGCAGGGAGUAAUACCAGAGGGUGAUCAGGAUGGUGGAAGAUGCCCCGUUGGGUUGAGCAGAGUGGAGCUGCCCUCUGGAGCCUGGGGUUAGUGAUGAUGGGCUUGUAGAAAUGCCCCUCCUUUACCCAUCAAUGCUGGGUCCUGCGGGUACUGAGUCCCACAAUCGGUGUGCUGCUAGUGCCCUCAGCACAGAGAAAAACCCAGGGGUUCCCACAAGGCUUCGGCCACGUCCUCUGCUUCCUGAACUCCCAUUCUGGUGACCCCACCUGGGAUGCAGAGAUGAGGUGAGGCAGGGGCUUGUGCUGUCAACACCACUGCUCUACCCUGGGAAUCUGACACACAGUAGGUGCUCGGUAAGUCAUUGUUGAAUGAACAGCAGUACUGGGUCAAGUUUCUGUGGGUGUCUGUGCCCCUAGAUCAGGGACCCCUCAGGGCCCACCUCACAAGUGACAUGAAAAUAAUAAUGCCACCAGGAGCAAUAACAUUUCCUCAGAAUAAGUGGGCUUUUCCAAGCACUCUCCACCUGUUGCAAAGGCCUCCCAGCAGGGAAGUGGGCUGUCAGGGGCAACACUGCACUCUCCACUGUAAUAAGGAGAAAGCCAAGGGCCACAGAGAGGAGUGCCUUUCCAGUGUCACUGCUCACUUUCCCACCUUUUGGGAGACUGGGGGGCUUUUCUACUACAUUCUGGCUCUGAAGCCCCAAUAUUGUUUGGACAUGUCUCCCUCCCUGGAGCAGGGAACCACUAAGUGACCUGUCACUUGUCACCAAGCAGACAGGCUCAUUUCAGCUCAUUGUGCCACCUGCAGUUUGUGCUAGUAGCAGGAUCCUCUGGGAGACAUCACACUCUCCCAACCUGAAAACAGGUGAACAGCUCACAGGUUUCCUGGAGAGGAUGGUCACAUGGCCUUGAUCUGGCCAAUCAGCAUUUUCCAUCCUCCCUGGCCACUGUGAUUGGCUCAGGGCUGGGCACCAGCCCAAUCAGGCUCCACGGAGGUCAGGCCUAGUUGCUGGAAUCCUGGGAGCAGAGAAGUUCUAUUUCAGUUGGGAGUUGAGGGGUGGUGAUGUCAGCCUGUGGCAGUUGGUGACUAUCUUGCUCUCGUAAAGGCAGAGCCAUGUGAAGAUGACACCAGUGGCAGAGCCCAGAGGUGGGGAAAGAUGACUUCUGCUGAUGUCACUGAGCACCAGGUACAGCUCUGCCUGAAGCUAUCUCCCUGUGGAUGUCUCAGUUAGGCUGUCUGCUGCAUGAGAAUGGAGACCUGCCUGCUUCACUCCCUGCUGUGCCCGGUAUAUGGAACCCGCCCAACACACAGUAGGACCUCAGCGAAUGUGUGACGGGUGUGUGAUCACUGUAGGCCACAGACAAAGGUCUUCCCAGCAGUGAUGAAACCCUGUGACAGAUCCUGUCCACAGCACCCUGCUCCUCCGAUCCUGACCCCAGGCUUUCCCAUGGGGUGUGACCCCGCAUGGGGUGCAGUCCCCUCCUCCAGUCUGACGUCAGUAAUCUUGGACCCGUUCUUGGAGCAGAGAAUUGAGUACCUUCC